UAUAUCGGAACGUGCCCGAGUCGUGGGAUAACGUAGCGAAGUUACGCUAAUACCGCAUACGAUCUAAGGAUGAAANCGGGGGAUCGCAAGACCUCGCGCGAUUUGGAGCGGCCGAUAUCAGAUUAGCUAGUUGGUGAGGUAAAGGCUCACCAAGGCGACGAUCCCUUAGCUGGUCUGAGAGGAUGAUCAGCCACACUGGGACUGAGACACGGCCCAGACUCCUACGGGAGGCAGCAGUGGGGAAUAUUGGACAAUGGGCGAAAGCCCUGAUCCAGCAAUGCCGCGUGAGUGAUGAAGGCCUUCGGGUUGUAAACUGCUUUUGUACGGAACGAAACGGUGAGCUCUAAUACAGUUUGCUAAUGACGGUACCGUAAGAAUAAGCACCGGCUAACUACGUG
rnacentral:rRNA from 1 species